AGACUGCCCUGACCUCUAGUCACUAAAAAUAAGUUUUCUCACUAUAGGAUUUUCAUAUGAAGUUCUUACUUGUUUCUAUAGAAAAUAGACUCAUUAAGGAAUCUAAGCAUGUAAAUUUCAACUCAUAACCAUUUUUGUACAAUUUGUAAUUAUUUUCUAAACUCAGAACAGGGGACUCCAAAAACAGUUCUGACCCUAUCUUACUAAAAUUCACAUAUCUUAAAAUAUAAAUUUCUUUUCUCUACACCGUUAUUUUUUCAUGAAAAUAGACUCAACAAGCUUUAAUUCCAUAUAUCAUUCACCCUCUAAUUCAUUUUAUACUAUCUUGGGUGAUUUUUCAAAUUCACGUCACUAUUGCUGCCUGAAUUCUGUUUCUUUGCAAAAUUUUACCAUUUUAUGACUUUCAUACCUAAUUUAUCACUUAGACUUUUAUAACAAUAAUUAACUUCAUCCUUGACCAUUUAAACAACCAUUCAUCAUCAAAUACUUACACAUCAUUCUAUAGUAAAAUCAUAUUUACAAAUAUACAAAAUUACUAAAUUCCUAUACAUGCCAUAACUAAAAGAAAUGUUCACCACCACAAUUAGCUCAAAAUCGGCUUUGGAUGCUGAUUCAACAAUCCGACUUUGACCUAACCUGCGCACGGAAACAACCGUACGCUGAGUAUGGAAAUACUCAGUGGUAUUACCAUAAUUCGAAUUAAUAACAUUAAUCGAUAAAUUAUAUACAUUUUAUUUAUGUCUACAAUUAUUCAUUAAUUAUCUCAUGCAUUAAAUCAACUUGAUAAUUAAUAACAAUAAGCUAAAAUUCAAAUCUUGUAUUUAAUUGUAUUCAUACCUUAUUUCACUAUCUCAAUUCCAUUGGAUUUUUCUUUACAUCUCAUUCCAAUAGUUCAUUUCAAUUCAUAUACAAUUCAUUUCAUUUAAUUUAUAUUCAAUAUAAAUUUUAUUGCAAUUUGUACUCACUAAUAUCAUAUAACAAAAUUUACUCUUUAUCACAUCAUGAACUUUGGGCUCAUAUCUUUAAAUCUCUUAUUUCGAUUUCCAAUUCACACAUUAAUUCACAACUUCACUUUUUCGUUUCUUCCCAUAGCUCAAUCAAUCACAUUUAUUCAAUUUUCUCAUUUCAAUUAUUUACCCCUAUUAACAAGACUCGGACCUUGGCGGAUACACGGAUCCAACCAAACACACCAAAAUGGCACCCAGUGCCUCAUCGGAUAGUUCGAAGCAAUAGUUGACACCCAGUGUCUCAUCGGCCCAGCCGAAGUAAAGUUGGUACCCAGUACCUCAUCGAAUCUAUCCGAAGAAAUAUAGUGACACCCAGUGUCUCAUCGACUCAAGGUCGAAGUAUCCCUGAACUCUUCCAAUCCUAUGGCAUGCCAACUAUAUCCGACUCAGCCCGACUAGUUAAUAGGGUUUCCGAAUCACAUUUCAAUUCAAUCACUUUCUCAUACUUUCAAUUCAAAUCAUUCCCAUUUAAUCACCAUUUGUUUCAAUACAUUUUUCUAUUUCAAAUUCACUUUCGAUUUAAUCGCAAUUCAACUCAGAUUCACUUCCCACUUUCAAAUCAAUAUACAAUUCAAUACCAAUACAUAUUUCAGAUAUUCACAUAUAAUCAUACUUCGAUUCAAUUCAAACCACUUUUCAAUCAAUACACAAUUCACAUAUUCACAUAUCUCAAUUUAAUAUCUCAUUUAUUCAAUUCAUAUUUUAAUUCAUUCAAUUAAAUAUUGAUAUUCUCCUUAUUUUUAUUUACUAACAUAUUAUUCAAAAUUCAAUAAUUACUGUCAAUAAAUUCAAUAUCAAUACGUAUAUAUAUUAUUCAAUUCAAUUAUGAAACUCACCUCAAUUUGCUUAUCGUGUAUAUUAAUUUAAUUUUCAACGAUUAAUAAUUAAAUUCGAAUUAUAGUAAUACUAACCGUAAUUUCUCUCGAGUCACUCCUUGUCCACUUUCUCCUUUCCUUUCUCGGACAAUGACUCGUACACGACAUUAGCUACGUAAUUAAACAAUUAAAAAUCAUUAAUACACAAUUUCAUUAAAAUAUUUCCUUUUAUACCUAAACUUUACCCAAAUUCUAAUUUAAUCCCUUACCAAUACUAAUUUUAUUUUUCCCAAUCUAACUUUAUAUUCUUUCUUAAUUCUUACUAAACUCAUAUUUAACUAUUUAAUUUUUAUCAUGUUUUCAUAAUUCCGAAUUUAUUUCAAAUUAAUCCCUAAAAUUCAAAACUUAUAGUUUAGUUUACAAUUCAAUCCUUUAUUCAAUUCCAAUCAAAAUUUCUAUCAAAUACAUCCCUAAUUUAACAAUUUAUUCAACAUGAACCAUGCUUAAUAAUCUACUAACUUUCAAAAUUUCAACUUAAAUCAAGUAGUAUUUUAUUCUAGGAUUUCAAAAAAAAUAUCAAAAUUAAGAGAAAAGGGGAUUAAAUUGACUUACCAAAUUACUUUGAACCUUAAAACCCCAAAUUUCCCUUUUUCUUUUCUUUUCUUUCUUUCUUUCCUUCCUUCCUUCUCUGUUUCGUUUUGCUCUCUGUUUCUUUCUUUCUCCCUUCUCUGUUUUGUUUUGCUCUCUGUUUCUUUUCUUUCUUUCUUUGUCAUAUAUAUAUAUAUAUAAUAUAAUAUAAUAUAAAAUAUUAAUAAUAAUCAUUACUUACAUAUAUAUAUAUAUAUUAACUAGAAUAUCUCAGAUAUUUCUUUCAUUAUGCCGCCUCAACUUUAGAAAAAGGCAUAAUUGCCUAUUUGGUCCUUUUAACUUUUCUUUAAUCUAUAAUUAAACUUUUAUCCCUAUUGCAAUUUAAUCCUUUUUCAUAAUUAACUAUCGAAACAUUAAAAUUUCUUAACGAAACUUUAAUAUUAUCCUAUUGACACUUCGUAAAUAUUUAUAAAAAUAUUUACGGCUCAGUUUAUAAUAUCGAGGUCUCGAUACCUCGUUUUCGACCCAAUUUACCUAAUAAUUUCUUUUAAAUCACAAAAUUCACUGAUUUAAAAAUAUUUCUAAAAUCACACUUAACUUAUAAUUAUUAAUUAAUAAAUUUUUCUAACUUUUUCAUCAAUUUUAGUGAUCUCAAAUCACUAUUCUGACACUACUAAAAAUUGGGCUGUUACAACUCUUCCCCCUAAAAAAAUUUCGUCCUCGAAAUUUCUCACCUGAUACAGGCUAUUAAGUCAAAUCUUUCUUCCACCCUUUCAAUCGAAGUCCAUAAAAAUUAAUCAUAACUCAUAUCACUUCCGAAAUCAUAUCAGAACUCAUUUUAGAACUUGAUACUAUGCCUGAACUUAACUGAGUAACUCUGAUGUUCUCUUGCCAUCACUUUUUCACUAGUAGUAUGACUACUAAGAAAUUUCCAGUAAUUGUCUGUCGAAACAUAACUGAGAAACUCGAAUUAUCUUAUUUAAUACCUUUGAACGAAGAUCUUGGAAACCCAUCCAGCGAUAAGAAAACAGAUAAUUUAAACCCAUUGUGGAGACCCAAGAUGUACUGAUUCCAUCACUGAUUAUAACUCAAUUAACUUUUCAAUGAAUAACCCACUCUGAUUAAAACAACUGAGUCGAUUUUAUCUAUCAGAUAAUAACAUUUCAGAAUAAUCCAUUCUUCUUGUUGUCAAAACAAUUUAGAUAUACCAUAUAUCAUAAUCCUCUCAGAACACCAACCGAAAAUUACCACAAAUAGCAUUUAACUCAAACGAAUUUUGACAUUCCAUUAUUGACUUGUUGACAUAAUUCAGAAUUACCUGAGAAAUGAAAACCAAAAUACAAGUUUGAGCUCAAUCUUCCUCCAUCUAUACUUUUGCCGAUGUCAACCCUUUCACGAAAACUAGAAAGGAAUUAUAUAUAAUAAAAAUAUUUCAAUCAUUAACAUCGAAGCUUUGAACUAUACCGAAGCCACAACUAUCAGAUAGAUUAAAAACCAUAAUGCCAUAAUAGAACUGACGUUCCAACCGUAUAGAUAGAACAAUACUUCAACAUCAAUAAUGCACUCCAAAAUAGAUGAAAAAGACCGAAGUAGUCCCAAUAACAACCAGUGCAGUAAUACAACUUCUAUAAUCUGAAAUCCAUAUCACCGGGUUCCCAUGAUCAAACCAAGAUUUAUAACAGUAAUAAAUAUAAUUACCUCUGGCCAACGAAUAUCUUGUACGGAUGAACCAUGGUUAAUAAAUAAGAUUAGACCAUAAGAAUAAUAAGAAAACCGAGAUAAUAGAAUCUAAGAUGUGAAGCUAUACUAAAUUUCCGAGAAGAAAAACCACAUUGAAUGAUAAAGAGAUCGAUGAUAUCCCAGAGAAAAUCCAAAAGAAUAUCCCAGAGAAAAUCCAAAAGAAGAAUAUCACUUGUACGUACUAGGAAUAAUUGUGAUAAAGACAAUAUAAAUUCCAUAUAUAUAAUUCGGAGCUUCAACCAGUAGAAAUAGAAAAUAGCUUCAUAUGAGUCUUAUCAUCAAAUCUUCCAUCGAACUUAAUAGAUUAGAAAACCAAAGAAAGAUAGAGGAAUCCCGAUCAUGAAUCAACCAGACUAAUAAUAAUUCUGUCUAACAAUAUGAUUAGCCAACCUUGCUAUAUGAUAAGAAUCAUAUCUGAAAAUAAAUAAUUGCAUAUACCUCUGAGGAUAAAAGAGCAUAUAGAAUACCCAUAUAGAAUACCCAGAAGAAAUCGUUGUAAGAUACCCGACUAUAACAACUGCAUUCAGAUAUGGUUGCAAUUUUCAACACAAUCCCACUGAUUACUAAAGUCAUCAAUAAUCUCGCAUUAUCCCAAUCAUUAAAGAAAUCAAUUCAGAAGAAAUUCCGAUUAACCUGCUCUUUAAAUUUUAUACCUGAGUAAGUCGAUUACUCGUGAAUAGCUUCUUCCUUAAUAGCGACAUUGCAAAUCCCAAUAAUCAUUUUAAAAAAAAUCUAAUAUCCUUUUUAGAACUCUCUUUACUUGCUAUCCCAUCCACAAUUCUGACUGCAUUAUUAUUCCUUCAAUUAUUGAACUCUUCAAUUACACACUUGUAAACUUAAUGAAUACAAUUCUUGUAAAUUCCUUUGUACAGGUGAGGGGGUGAAGGUCGUAAAGCCUCAAAAUUUGACUCUCAUAUAUAUAUAUACACAUAACAUGACUUUUAUCGUCAAUAUAUUCAUUACAAACAUUCAUUCCAUACCUUAUAACUCUUUACUCAUAUAGGCAACUCCCCUUUCUCUAUCAAAUACUCAAAUAUCAUUUUCAUCACUGUCGGAACUAGAUCAAUUGGAGACAUUUUUGUCUAUUAGUAAAACAUUUCUCAUUUAUCAAGGUUACUCUUUUAAAUGUAUAAAUGUAUAUUUUCAUCCUUAUCUAUAAGGAUUACUAUUUUAAAUCUCCAUACAGAACUAAAUAACAUUUACUUAUUCACAACUUUAAAUUAUUUUAUUACAAAUACAUACUUCUUUAUUCACAGCUUUGUAACUUAUUUUUCCUUUAUAAUCAUUCAUCAUUGAAUCAAAGAUAAUCUUUUAUCUUGUAACAUUUUUUUUUAGCAGAGGCCCAGUAGACGAAACAGAAUACUUAGGAUAUACGGGACUGUACAGAGAGCACAAAUGUGCUAAACGGAGAGCACUAACGUGCUAGUGAUCAGAGAGCGUGCUAAUAUUCAGAGAGCACUGACGUGCUAAAUAUCAGAGAGCACCGAUGUGCUAAACAGAGAGCACUGAUGUGCUAAUAAUCAGAGAGCACGCUAAACUCCCUUAAUAUCCUAAUAGUUCUAACCUCGUCUACUUGGGCAAAUUAUUUCAUUCAUGCAUGCAUAUCACUUUUACACUUUUCGCACAAUACUUUUACAUGCUUUACAAUUUAAUUCUUGUACCAAUAAUUUGUGCAUUUAUAUCUUCUCUAUCUUUAGCACAUGUAAUAUAUUUCAAAAUUUACUAUUCAUCCAUAAUUCCUUAAUAAUCCUUAUCAUCUACUUCAUAUAUUACUUUUGUAUUUUUUUUAUAAUUUAGUUAUCAAUUCAAUAGUUCGUAUAGCACUAUAAUUUAUUUUUCAAUGAAACAUAUAACGCAAUAUUCAUCAUCAUAUUCAUUCGACAUUUUCAACUCUAAAACAUAAGCAAAUAUAUCAGCAUCCAAAUCUCGACUCAAUUCGACACAAUUAUGGCAUGUACCUCUAAACUCAAUUCUGAGCUCGAUUUAGUCCGAGAAUCGACUAAACCUGCAAAGCUCUGAUACCACCAAAAUUGUAACACCCCUUACCCGAGACCGUUGCCGGAAUCGAGUACGAGGCAUACUUAGCUUAUCUUACUAAUUCGGGGCAUAAAAAUUCGUUUUAAAAAUUAAUUUCACUGUUUACAGUAAUCUGUCCAAUCGCGCAGCAGUUACUAAAUUGAUUAUAACUCGAGCUACGGAACUCCAAAUUUAAUUUCGUAAAUUUUCCCUGAAACUAGACUCAUAUAUAUACUCACCAUAAAAUUUUUAGAAUUUUUGGUUCAGCAAAUUAGUACAGUUUAUUAGUUAAAGUCUCCCCUGUGUCACCACCAGACUGCCCUGACCUCUAGUCACUAAAAAUAAGUUUUCUCACUAUAGGAUUUUCAUAUGAAGUUCUUACUUGUUUCUAUAGAAAAUAGACUCAUUAAGGAAUCUAAGCAUGUAAAUUUCAACUCAUAACCAUUUUUGUACAAUUUGUAAUUAUUUUCUAAACUCAGAACAGGGGACUCCAAAAACAGUUCUGACCCUAUCUUACUAAAAUUCACAUAUCUUAAAAUAUAAAUUUCUUUUCUCUACACCGUUAUUUUUUCAUGAAAAUAGACUCAACAAGCUUUAAUUCCAUAUAUCAUUCACCCUCUAAUUCAUUUUAUACUAUCUUGGGUGAUUUUUCAAAUUCACGUCACUAUUGCUGCCUGAAUUCUGUUUCUUUGCAAAAUUUUACCAUUUUAUGACUUUCAUACCUAAUUUAUCACUUAGACUUUUAUAACAAUAAUUAACUUCAUCCUUGACCAUUUAAACAACCAUUCAUCAUCAAAUACUUACACAUCAUUCUAUAGUAAAAUCAUAUUUACAAAUAUACAAAAUUACUAAAUUCCUAUACAUGCCAUAACUAAAAGAAAUGUUCACCACCACAAUUAGCUCAAAAUCGGCUUUGGAUGCUGAUUCAACAAUCCGACUUUGACCUAACCUGCGCACGGAAACAACCGUACGCUGAGUAUGGAAAUACUCAGUGGUAUUACCAUAAUUCGAAUUAAUAACAUUAAUCGAUAAAUUAUAUACAUUUUAUUUAUGUCUACAAUUAUUCAUUAAUUAUCUCAUGCAUUAAAUCAACUUGAUAAUUAAUAACAAUAAGCUAAAAUUCAAAUCUUGUAUUUAAUUGUAUUCAUACCUUAUUUCACUAUCUCAAUUCCAUUGGAUUUUUCUUUACAUCUCAUUCCAAUAGUUCAUUUCAAUUCAUAUACAAUUCAUUUCAUUUAAUUUAUAUUCAAUAUAAAUUUUAUUGCAAUUUGUACUCACUAAUAUCAUAUAACAAAAUUUACUCUUUAUCACAUCAUGAACUUUGGGCUCAUAUCUUUAAAUCUCUUAUUUCGAUUUCCAAUUCACACAUCAAUUCACAACUUCACUUUUUCGUUUCUUCCCAUAGCUCAAUCAAUCACAUUUAUUCAAUUUUCUCAUUUCAAUUAUUUACCCCUAUUAACAAGACUCGGACCUUGGCGGAUACACGGAUCCAACCAAACACACCAAAAUGGCACCCAGUGCCUCAUCGGAUAGUUCGAAGCAAUAGUUGACACCCAGUGUCUCAUCGGCCCAGCCGAAGUAAAGUUGGUACCCAGUACCUCAUCGAAUCUAUCCGAAGAAAUAUAGUGACACCCAGUGUCUCAUCGACUCAAGGUCGAAGUAUCCCUGAACUCUUCCAAUCCUAUGGCAUGCCAACUAUAUCCGACUCAGCCCGACUAGUUAAUAGGGUUUCCGAAUCACAUUUCAAUUCAAUCACUUUCUCAUACUUUCAAUUCAAAUCAUUCCCAUUUAAUCACCAUUUGUUUCAAUACAUUUUUCUAUUUCAAAUUCACUUUCGAUUUAAUCGCAAUUCAACUCAGAUUCACUUCCCACUUUCAAAUCAAUAUACAAUUCAAUACCAAUACAUAUUUCAGAUAUUCACAUAUAAUCAUACUUCGAUUCAAUUCAAACCACUUUUCAAUCAAUACACAAUUCACAUAUUCACAUAUCUCAAUUUAAUAUCUCAUUUAUUCAAUUCAUAUUUUAAUUCAUUCAAUUAAAUAUUGAUAUUCUCCUUAUUUUUAUUUACUAACAUAUUAUUCAAAAUUCAAUAAUUACUGUCAAUAAAUUCAAUAUCAAUACGUAUAUAUAUUAUUCAAUUCAAUUAUGAAACUCACCUCAAUUUGCUUAUCGUGUAUAUUAAUUUAAUUUUCAACGAUUAAUAAUUAAAUUCGAAUUAUAGUAAUACUAACCGUAAUUUCUCUCGAGUCACUCCUUGUCCACUUUCUCCUUUCCUUUCUCAGACAAUGACUCGUACACGACAUUAGCUACGUAAUUAAACAAUUAAAAAUCAUUAAUACACAAUUUCAUUAAAAUAUUUCCUUUUAUACCUAAACUUUACCCAAAUUCUAAUUUAAUCCCUUACCAAUACUAAUUUUAUUUUUCCCAAUCUAACUCUAUAUUCUUUCUUAAUUCUUACUAAACUCAUAUUUAACUAUUUAAUUUUUAUCAUGUUUUCAUAAUUCCGAAUUUAUUUCAAAUUAAUCCCUAAAAUUCAAAACUUAUAGUUUAGUUUACAAUUCAAUCCUUUAUUCAAUUCCAAUCAAAAUUUCUAUCAAAUACAUCCCUAAUUUAACAAUUUAUUCAACAUGAACCAUGCUUAAUAAUCUACUAACUUUCAAAAUUUCAACUUAAAUCAAGUAGUAUUUUAUUCUAGGAUUUCAAAAAAAAUAUCAAAAUUAAGAGAAAAGGGGAUUAAAUUGACUUACCAAAUUACUUUGAACCUUAAAACCCCAAAUUUCCCUUUUUCUUUUCUUUUCUUUCUUUCUUUCCUUCCUUCCUUCUCUGUUUCGUUUUGCUCUCUGUUUCUUUCUUUCUCCCUUCUCUGUUUUGUUUUGCUCUUUGUUUCUUUUCUUUCUUUCUUUGUCAUAUAUAUAUAUAUAUAAUAUAAUAUAAUAUAAAAUAAU
rnacentral:lncRNA from 1 species